UACUCUCGUUGCUUUGGCGGGCCGCCGGGCCCUGCCCGGCCGCCGGCCCCGGCUGGCGCGUGCCCGCCAGAGACCUCACAGACUCUGAAUGUUAGUGUCGUCCGAGUAACUAUACAAUCGUUAAAACUUUCAACAACGGAUCUCUUGGUUCUGGCAUCGAUGAAGAACGCAGCGAAAUGCGAUAAGUAAUGCGAAUUGCAGAAUUCAGUGAGUCAUCGAAUCUUUGAACGCACAUUGCGCCCUGUGGUAUUCCGCAGGGCAUGCCUGUUCGAGCGUCAUUUCAACCCUCAAGCCUCGCUUGGUGUUGGGCCCUGCCCGCCGCGGCCGGCCCUAAAGAUAGUGGCGGCGCCGCCUGGCCCUCAGCGUAGUACAGCUCUCGCUCCAGGGUCCGGCGGCAGCCUGCCAGAACCCCCCAACU
rnacentral:rRNA from 2 species